UCGCGGCGGUGCGCGCAGAAGGGUCUGGGCUCGAGCCUGCCUGGAGCCGCCGCCGGUGCAGAUCUUGGUGGUAGUAGCAAAUACUCCAGCGAGGCCCUGGAGGACUGAUGUGGAGAAGGGUUUCGUGUGAACAGCCGUUGCACACGAGUCAGUCGAUCCUAAGCCCUAGGAGAAAUCCGAUGCAAACGGCGAUGGGAAACGCAUUGACUCAGUACAAUAAGUCAGAGACCCAUUGAACGGGCGAAAGGGAAUCCGGUUCCUAUUCCGGAACCCGGCUGCGGAACCGUUGUUUGUCGGGCCCUCGCAAGGGGUUCGUCAGGGCAACCUAAAAGGGCCCGGAGACGCCGUCGGGGGCCCCGGAAAGAGUUUUCUUUUCUCCAUGAGCGUUCGAGUUCCCUGGAAUCCUCUCGCAGGGAGAUAGGGUUUGGAACGCGAAGAGCACCGCAGUUGCGGCGGUGCACGGGAAUUCCCGACGGACCUUGAAAAUCCGGGAGAGGGCCACGUGGAGGUGUCGCGCCGGUUCGUACCCAUAUCCGCAGCAGGUCUCCAAGGUGAAGAGCCUCUAGUC
rnacentral:rRNA from 1 species